CUGCAGCCAACGAGGCCUCUGGGUAACUUUCCUCAUGGGGGCCUAGGAUGCCAUGGCUACAAGCAGCAACCGCCUUGGGAGUGUGGGCAACCUGUUGCCUGUCUGAGUUGCCCUAAGGGGCCUUGGAGACUUUG